rnacentral:piRNA from 1 species
UGAUUGGGGUUCACUGCUACACUGCA